AUAGACAUACUUAAGUGAAUAAGUAAUAUACUACAUGUAUAUGCCACAUGGAAGACAAGAUAUACAACUAUAAUAUAAGAUCUAUAUAUCAUAAUAUCAUCAACAGUAAAAUAUAUAAAUUUGUCAGAACAGUUAUAAAGCAUGGUAUAAAUAAUUUCUCAUUUGAUAUAUUGAACAAUCUCAUAGUUCAACAAAAAUGUUGAUAAUACCAUUUAUAUUUUUAAGGAAUCAGUCCGGAUCACUGUAAACAUGCAAAACCUAUGCACAGAUUAUAUGACAUAAAUUGUGAUUAUUGUAAAAUGCAAAAAAAAAAUCCCCCAUUGUAAAGUAGAAAGCAAUAACAUUGAUGAUUAGGGGGGAAAACAAUUAGCAAAUUAAAAUUCAACCCUCAUGUAAUAUAAUUAGGCAUUCCAAUUUAGAAAAUUACAUUACACAAUGGAAUAUUUCUUAUACUUUUGAAGGGCAAAUGUUUCCUUUUCUGAUAUCUACUUCUUACUGCUACUGCAUAUGUACCUCGCAAUUUAAUGUAUGUAGAAGCCUUAGCUUUACAAUAUAUAUUGUUCAAAAACACAAACAUUGAGGAAUGGGAUGCAGUUCCAUGUAAUUCAUUGUAAUUCUUGUGCAAUGCCUCAGUUUCAUUAUUGAUACAUCUUGCAGUAGAAUGGAUUUCAGCCCAUACCAAUGGAGGGACCAAAGAACUAUCACCAAAUAAAAAUAAAUCAUUUAGAUAUGUAAGAUAGAAAAGUGUACAGUUGAAUUGGUGCAAAUGAGUUCCGAAUAUUGCGCAACUGAUACAUAUAAAAGAAAAAAAGUUUGAGCAAAUGGUACCAUUGAAAAACAUUUAUUGGCGCAAGAAGGCUUCUGUCAAAAUGUGCAUGUUAACCAUAACUGAUUGUUCAAAAAGAUUUUUUUAAAUCUUGAAAGGAAAUAUUUUGGAGUAAACAAUUUAUUAAUCAACUUUUCUUAUGUUUCAGAAUAGGUGUACAAAAAAAUAUAAUCAACUAAUAAAAUAUACACAACAAUAAAAGUUUAUUAUAACACAAGCUUUUGAUAAAAGCUCAUAACACUAUCAAAAUAACUUAUAACAAAAGUAACACUAAAUGUGUCACCAAUAAAUUUGUACUUGGAAGAGUGUUAAAAUACUUUUAAUUCACAUAACAAUUUAUUGUGUAAGUAUGCAUUUGGAACUGAGAUGCUACACUAUAUUUUAUAUAUUUUUUAAACUAUACAAAUGGUGAGAUUUUAAUAAAAUAUUGAAUUUGCAUAGCUUUCAAUGUAAGAGAUAUAGAUUCCACAACAACAACAAGUGUAUUACAAAAUUUCUUCACUUGAGACAGUUAAAUUUUAAGAUUUAAAGCGUGAGGCUUCCAGAGCUUUUUAAAUAAUUAAAAUUUAACUGUUGAGGUGGCCUCUCAUACAAAGCUAUUAACUGAUAUGAAUGGAUAAUUAUGCAAUAUCAUAACCUAAAUCAAUGGUAAAUCAUAAUUAUGCUUUAAAAACAUAAAAAAAUGUUUCCCUUUAAUAUAACAAAACAAAAAUGAAUAAGGUGGUAUUCCUGUAGAAAAAAAAACAACAUAUGAAGACAAUCCCCCAUAAACGAAGGUCUGGAGAGGUCAUUCAUUCAAGAAUUCUUUAAUUUUUUAGGCUAUUUUUUUCUAUUCAAUAGUCAUAUGCCCAUUUUUCUCUAAUUUUAUUUAUAUAUACCCAUUAUUCUAUUAUGUACAGACCCCCAUGAACAACAUUCUAAAAUAUUACAUUCUUUUCAAUAUUACGCAACAUCAGAUCAAUUUAAUUAGUUUCAUAAAAUGAACAAGAAAAUAUAUAAUCAACAUUUCAUUAAUAAUUUAAAAAAUAUGGCACAUACACACUUCUUUUUUUUAUAUAAUACACUUAUAAAAUAUUCUAAAAAUUUCAUUUUGAUUAUUUGAUUAUAUUUCUAUAUACAAGAUAGAUUAUUUAUAAUACUGUUACAGAGGAAUUCUAAAAACAACUUUGGUCCUGCAACUAUAGAUAGAAAAAAUACUACAUAACAAACAUGAAUAUAUAAGACACCAUGGCUGACACAUACUACACUUCAAUGGUCAAUGAACCAAAAAAUUGGUAAGAGUCCUUAUUUGGCAUAUGAUUUUAAAAGUUAACAACUAAGUUUAAAGAUGACAAUAUGGCAACUUCAAAGUAUACUAACAAGGUUAUUCAUAAGAAGAAUAUGAAAAGUAACACCUACAACUAGGAAUGUAUCUGUCAACAUGAAAGAUAAUGACACCCCUGACUACCUUAUACAGAAGGACAGACAGACAGAUAGACUAUGUGUUCUUGGUCAGUGAACCGUGAAAUCAGGUAAGACUCUUAAUUUGGCAUAUGAUUUAAAAAGUUUACAUCAUAAUGAAAAUUUGAACUAAGUUUAAAGAUAAAAAUAUGGCAACUUCAAAGUAUACUCAAAGUAUACUACCUCAAACA
rnacentral:lncRNA from 1 species